GAAAUAACGAAGGGAUAAUGGUGACAAUUAUUAACAAUUGCUAUGCGUUCCUCCGAUAUAUAAGCAGGUGCAGUUUGACUGUCAACCCGUCCACCUUCACACA